UACAGAGGGGGCAAGCGUUGUUCGGAAUUACUGGGCGUAAAGGGCGCGUAGGCGGCCUGCUAAGUCGAACGUGAAAUCCCUGGGCUCAACCCAGGAACUGCGUCCGAUACUGGUUGGCUUGAAUCCGGGAGAGGGAUGUGGAAUUCCAGGUGUAGCGGUGAAAUGCGUAGAUAUCUGGAGGAAUACCGGUGGCGAAGGCGGCAUCCUGGACCAUAACUGACGCUGAGGCGCGAAAGCUAGGGGAGCAAACGGGG
rnacentral:rRNA from 1 species